UACGGAGGGUGCAAGCGUUAUCCGGAUUCACUGGGGUUAAAGGGUGCGUAGGCGGGUAAGUAAGUCCGUGGUGAAAUCUCUGAGCUUAACUCAGAAACUGCCGUGGAUACUAUUUGCCUUGAAUAUUGUGGAGGUGAGCGGAAUAUGUCAUGUAGCGGUGAAAUGCUUAGAUAUGACAUAGAACACCAAUUGCGAAGGCAGCUCACUACUCAAUCAUUGACGCUGAGGCACGAAAGCGUGGGUAGCAAACAGG
rnacentral:rRNA from 1 species